UACGUAGGGUGCGAGCGUUGUCCGGAAUUACUGGGCGUAAAGAGCUCGUAGGUGGUUUGUCGCGUUGUUCGUGAAAACUCACAGCUUAACUGUGGGCGUGCGGGCGAUACGGGCAGACUGGAGUACUGCAGGGGAGACUGGAAUUCCUGGUGUAGCGGUGAAAUGCGCAGAUAUCAGGAGGAACACCGAUGGCGAAGGCAGGUCUCUGGGCCGAUACUGACGCUGAGGAGCGAAAGCGGUGGGGAGCGAACAGG
rnacentral:rRNA from 1 species